GUUCUCGUGGCCGAUCGGUUAAGGCGAUCGACUAGAAAUAUUUUGGGGAUCUUCCCGCGCAUGUUCGAAUCCUGCCGACAACG
rnacentral:tRNA from 1 species